rnacentral:piRNA from 1 species
UCCAGGUUACAUGAUUAGACAUCACAAGC